UACGAAGGGGGCGAGCGUUGUUCGGAUUUACUGGGCGUAAAGGGCGCGUAGGCGGCCCCUCAAGUCAGGCGUGAAAGCCCCGGGCUCAACCUGGGAGGUGCGCUUGGGACUGAGGGGCUGGAGUUCGGGAGAGGAGCGUGGAAUUCCCAGUGUAGAGGUGAAAUUCGUAGAUAUUGGGAAGAACACCGGUGGCGAAGGCGGCGCUCUGGACCGAGACUGACGCUGAGGCGCGAAGGCGUGGGGAGCAAACAGGAUUAGAUACCCUGGUAGUCCACGCGGUAAACGAUGUGUGCUAGACGUUGGGGAGCCUAGCUCUUCGGUGUCGCAGCAAACGCUUUAAGCACACCGCCUGGGGAGUACGGCCGCAAGGUUAAA
rnacentral:rRNA from 1 species